rnacentral:rRNA from 1 species
GGCGAACGGGUGAGGAAUACAUGGGUAACCUACCCUCGAGUGGGGAAUAACUAGCCGAAAGGUUAGCUAAUACCGCGUACGCUUCUUGGACUUCGGUUCAGGGAGGAAAGCGAUACCGUGGGUAUCGCGCUCUUGGAUGGGCUCAUGUCCUAUCAGCUUGUUGGUGAGGUAACGGCUCACCAAGGCUUCGACGGGUAGCUGGUCUGAGAGGACGAUCAGCCACACUGGCACUGCGACACGGGCCAGACUCCUACGGGAGGCAGCAGUAAGGAACAUUGCGCAAUGGGCGAAAGCCUGACGCAGCGACGCCGCGUGGGGGAUGAAGGUCUUCGGAUUGUAAACCCCUUUCGGGAGGGAAGAUGGAACGAGCAAUCGUUCGGACGGUACCUCCAGAAGCAGCCACGGCUAACUUCGUGCCAGCAGCCGCGGUAAUACGAAGGUGGCAAGCGUUGUUCGGAUUUACUGGGCGUACAGGGAGCGUAGGCGGUUCGGUAAGCCCUCUGUGAAA